UCGGGCCUAGCGAUCCAUGACGUCCCCACUAUUGGGGGCUCGUGGUGACAGAAAAAUUACCCCAGGGAUAACAGGCUCGUCGCGGGCGAGAGCUCCUAUCGACCCCGCGGUUUGGUACCUCGAUGUCGGCUUUUCCCAUCCUGGCCCUGCAGCAGGGGCCAAGGGUGAGGCUGCUCGCCUAUUAAAGGGGAACAUGAGCUGGGUUUAGACCGUCGUGAGACAGGUCGGACUCUGCCUGAUGGAAGCGUGGAUACUUGAGGGGAAGUUGCUCCGAGUACGAGAGGAACAGAGCAGCGUAGCCACUGGUUUAACAGUUGUCUGAUAAGGCAAGCCGUGCAGCUAAGCUAUUUGGGCUAACUCCUGAAAGCAUCUAAGGAGGAAACCCAUCCCGAGAAAAGGUAUCCGUCCGUUAAGGUAAAGGGUGGCGAAAGAAGAUCGCGUUGAUAGAACAGCAGUAUAAAUCCCAAGCUUCGGCGAGGGGUGAGCUGGCCGUCACUAACAACCCAAUACAUCAGUUCA
rnacentral:rRNA from 1 species